GCUUGCACCCCGCUGACGAGCGGCGGACGGGUGAGUAAUGCAUAGGAAACUGCCCAGUAGUGGGGGAUAGCCCGGGGAAACCCGGAUUAAUACCGCGUACGCCCUUCGGGGGAAAGCAGGGGAUCUUCGGACCUUGCGCUAUUGGAUGUGCCUAUGUCGGAUUAGCUAGUUGGUGGGGUAAAGGCCUACCAAGGCGACGAUCCGUAGCUGGUCUGAGAGGAUGAUCAGCCACAUCGGGACUGAGACACGGCCCGAACUCCUACGGGAGGCAGCAGUGGGGAAUAUUGGACAAUGGGGGCAACCCUGAUCCAGCCAUGCCGCGUGUGUGAAGAAGGCUUUCGGGUUGUAAAGCACUUUCAGUGAGGAGGAAAAGUUGGUCGUUAAUACCGGCCAGCCUUGACGUUACUCACAGAAGAAGCACCGGCUAACUCCGUGCCAGCAGCCGCGGUAAUACGGAGGGUGCAAGCGUUAAUCGGAAUUACUGGGCGUAAAGCGCGCGUAGGUGGUUUGAUAAGCGAGAUGUGAAAGCCCCGGGC
rnacentral:rRNA from 1 species